rnacentral:lncRNA from 1 species
UCAUUCAUUUCGUAAACUUUUACUUAAACUUUUCUCCCAAAUUCUCUCUUAAUUCAAUUGGAAUCCAUUCUUUCUUUGAAAUUUCUUCGUGUGACUCUUUCUCCUAGAAUUGUCUACAUCAUAUUCUUUCUUCAUUCUACUCUUUUCUUUCUCUGAUAUACCGAAACCGCAAUGGUGCAUCUUGCACGCCCAAGUUCCUAUCAUUAGAGAUGUUUUUAUUAGUCCAUGCAAAGUUUCAUCUUAAUUUUGAUGCUAGCGACAAAGUUACUUCUACCCAGUAUGAUCUUGUUUUCCCCCCUCUAUCAUAUAUCACUCCAAGUAACACAAAAUUAACGUAACCAGCAUUAAGCAAUCCCAUAUCUUUUACUUUCUUUAAGACGGGUCAACAUUCAAACAUUAUCAUAAACAACGACUGCAAUUUCAAUUCUAUCACGAAAUCUUCCUACACGCUUCCAUUGUCCCAUUAUUUAGCAAUUCUCAUUAAUUACCUAAACCUUCAUUUUAACAUUGACAUGAUGAUUUAGAUUGAAACUUGCACUCGGGUGGGACUGAACCUAACUAGUAAUCUUAGGAAAUGAAAUAAGCACCAACACCACAUUAAUAUCUAAAACAGAAGACAACAUAUGCAACAACGCACUGAAAACAACCUAAAUAUGAAUAUGAGAUUUGAAGGCAUAACGAUAUAUAACAAAGAUAAAAAUGAAAGCUAUUUUCAAAUUCAUCACGAAGAUGGAGACGAUUAUGCAUAAUAGAUUACAUGAUAAGGGGACAAGAAAUUAAAUAAUUUGGUAGAGGAAAGGAGCUACAGAGAAUAAGAACAAAUAGGAGGUUAUGAACACAGUGAUAGUCGGGAAAAUCCGGUGUUGAAGUAGGUAAAAUUAGUGGGAAAAGUCCCAUAUUAGAGUUGAGAAAACUGCUCACCAAAAUUUCAAUUGAGAGAAAGUUUAUUCUAUUUUACAC